CCGCCCGCUCCUCGUCCUCCGCCGCCACCGUCUUCGAGCGCCGAUUCACCUCCGCCGGGACGAAGAACUCGUAUGAUGAAGUCCUCACGAGCCUCGCCAAGCCGGGAGGGGGAGCCGACUUCGGCAAGUACUACAGCCUGCCUGCGCUCGCCAAUCCGUGGAUUGAUCGGCUACCCUACUCGCCUCCUAUCCACUCCCUGGUCCAAGUGCAAGGCGUUGUGAAAUUCAGUAGGUUGGCA